rnacentral:rRNA from 1 species
UACGGAGGGAGCUAGCGUUGUUCGGAAUUACUGGGCGUAAAGCGCGCGUAGGCGGCUUUGUAAGUUAGAGGUGAAAGCCCGGGGCUCAACCCCGGAAUUGCCUUUAAGACUGCAUCGCUUGAAUCCGGGAGAGGUGAGUGGAAUUCCGAGUGUAGAGGUGAAAUUCGUAGAUAUUCGGAAGAACACCAGUGGCGAAGGCGGCAUCCUGGACCAACACUGACGCUGAGGAGCGAAAGCCAGGGAGCAAACGGGG